rnacentral:rRNA from 1 species
AUUGAACGCCGGCGGCAUGCUUUACACAUGCAAGUCGAACGGUAACAGGCCGCAAGGUGCUGACGAGUGGCGAACGGGUGAGUAAUGCAUCGGAACGUGCCCAGUCGUGGGGGAUAACUGCUCGAAAGAGCAGCUAAUACCGCAUACGAUCUAUGGAUGAAAGCGGGGGACCGUAAGGCCUCGCGCGAUUGGAGCGGCCGAUGUCAGAUUAGGUAGUUGGUGGGGUAAAGGCUCACCAAGCCAACGAUCUGUAGCUGGUCUGAGAGGACGACCAGCCACACUGGGAAUGAGACACGGCCCAGACUCCUACGGGAGGCAGCAGUGGGGAAUUUUGGACAAUGGGGCAACCCUGAUCCAGCAAUGCCGCGUGCAGGAAGAAGGCCUUCGGGUUGUAAACUGCUUUUGUACGGAACGAAACGGUCUGGGUUAAUACCCUGGGCCAAUGACGGUACCGUAAGAAUAAGCACCGGCUAACUACGUGCCAGCCGCCGCCGUAACAC